rnacentral:lncRNA from 1 species
AAAAGCCCCCAAGGUCAUAAAGCUAUUAGGUGGCUCAUAACAAAAAAAGCAAGGUCUGUACAGUUACAAAGCCACAACUCUUUCCUAUAGUUAUAUAAAGAAAAUUCCUUGAUUCUAAGUUAUUGGAAUUGCUGAGACCACAAAGAUGUACCUGCCACUUCCUGGCCACUUCCUGCUGUUGCUGCUCCUCCUACUGAUGAAAGUCUUGUUCACAACAUGUAGUUCUUGGCAAAAGGUGGGCUAAAUUGCAACUAUCCAAAUUCUGAAAAUGUUUGCUGUUUUUGAGUCUUCCCAUGGGUUUGGCCCUUUCUAUAUUUUGGAAUCAAGGGCACUUCUUGUGAGGUUGCAUGAAGUCAUAUGAGGGUAACAUAUCCAGCAAUGUAUUUUAAUGGGGUGUUAUCCAAAGUAAGAAAUAACAUUUUUUUGUUGUGAUUUAUGUGACUGAAACCUGUCACAGGGCACUCAGAAUUUUCUGUUGUACAUAUUUUUUUAACUCCUAAACUGAUAUCAGGAGUAUACAUGGGAGAGUCCAAGUUCAGAGAGCGGGGAGGUUUGGAAUUUAUUACCCCACUGUCUCUGAUUUGAUACUCUAGGAUACAGAUAGCUCCUGUCCAACCUUCCUCUGGAAUCCAACUCCCUCCCAUUUUUAAGCCACUAUCAGUUCCCCAGGUGCUUUUUUAGUCCCCUAUGCCUUGCCCCUAUGCUGAAAAUAUCUUUUUUUUCCUCAGUUAAACUUUUAGAGAGUACAUUGAUUUCUUCUGGAACUGUAAUCCUUCCUGAUUUUCCCAUCCAGAAGCUAAAGAUGAUACACCUAUCUUGUAAGACUGCUAUUCAUUACAUAAAAUGAAGACAAACCAAAAUGUUUAUAGUACAGUAAGACAUAUCUACUCUUUGAAUCUUUAUCAAGCCCAGUACACAGGAUUCACAGAGAACAUAGGGGUGCAUCAUUUAACUUCAGUCUAGGUUGAGCAUGAAGAGCUGGCUCCUAUUUUCUGUCCACUGAGCCUGGUGUUAAAUUCGAAUAAUCCUGGCAACAUUAGGCAAUGCCAGCCCAGAAUCCCUUCUCUUAAGCUUUAUCAUUCCAGGAAGUCCUAAAUGAGAAGGAGGAAGGGCACUUUCCUAAUCCCUAUGACGCCCUCUUGCUUCAGAAAAGGUAUAUGGCCUCCUCACCUUUGUUUUCCCUCCUUAAAAUGUUGAUUCAUCACUGUGGUCCCCUUCUUUGAGGAAGCCGAAAUAAGGAAGAACACAGAGGCAGCCUUGUAGUAGUCCUACAUUGGAAAUUAGUGUGAAUUGGUGUCUAAUAUCACAAUAGAGAGACCAUUAAUGUACACAAGUAUUACCUAUUAAAAUUUUUAAAGAAGUUGGGAGAGGCUGGGGUUGUAGCUUAGUUGCACUGGCAGAGCACUUGCCUAGUGUGUGUGAGGCACUGGGUUCAAUCCUGAGCACCACAUAAAAAUGAAAUAAAUAAAGGCAUGCUGUCCAUCUACAACUACAAAAAAAAAUUGAAAAGAAGUUGGAGUGUUGGUAGAAAAAUCAAUUUCUUAUUUCUCUUAGCAAAGUCUCUAAAGCACAGCUCAGCUUCUGCAAUUUGAGUAUAUAUAUUGCUCCCCCCCUCCAAAAAAGAUGCUUCCAAAUGUAAAUAGACCAUCGGUUUUGUUCACAAGUAAUUACUAAAUGCUAGUUACACGUAGGCCCUGUUCUUUGUCCUGCAUAGAAAAUAAAGCAUACGGCAUUUGUUGCAGAUGGGAUGGAGAGGGUAUGAAACAUGCUGCAGUUGGGAUGUUGCACUUCCAAACUUCAAUAAUAAAAAUAUGCAGCCAAGAUAUGGAGUCAACUAAGUGUCCAUUAACAGAUGAAUAAUGAAGAUGUGGUAAAUAUACACAAUCUAAUAUUAUUCAUCCAUGAAAGAAGGAUGCCAGUUAUGGUAAAUUAACAUGAAUGAACUUGGAGGACAAUGAGUGAAAUAAGCCAGGCAUAAAAAGACAAACAUCACAUGACCCCACCCAUAGAUAAAAUCUAAAACAGCCAAUCUCAUAGAAUUACAAAGUAGAAUAGUGGUUACCAGAGUCUGGGAAAGAUUGGAGAGGCCAAGACAGAUGGGGAGAGAUUGAUCAAUGGGUACAAAAUUACAGUUUGAUAAGAGAAAUAAGUUCCAAUGUUUUAUCGCAUAGUAAGCUAUAAUUAAAAUAUAAUGCAUAUUUUAAAAUACUAGAGAGCAUUAUGCAUGUUCUCACCACAAAGAAAUGAUGUUUGAAGUGAUAGAUAAGUUAAUUACCCUGAUUUGUUCAUUACACAAUGUAUACAUGUAUGAAAACAUCACACUAUACCCCAUAAAUAUGUAUAAUUAUUAUAUGUUCAUUAAAAGAAAACCCUAAUCUGCUUUCAGAUUUUAAAAAAAAUAAAUACAAGUGCAGAAAUAAAUGCCUUGGACAUUCCUUCUCAAGAAACCAAGUAAUCAGUCAUUAGUAAACUGGGCAUGAAUAGCCCAGGAAGCAUCUCUUGAAGUUACGCAAUAAUUAUUCCUACUUUGUCUCUGAAAGUUUAGCGUAUUCAGCUAGUUAAUAUUUCCUUGGUGAAUAGUGACCCCUGUCCUCAGGAAGGCUAUCAAGAGUAUCAAGUAGGUGGUAUGGCAGAGCAAAAAAAUAUCCAACUGGGAACAGAUUUGAGUUUUGAGUCUCCAUUUUCAUAAGAGUCAAGUGCCUUAACUCUUAAUUUGUUUCCUUAAUUUGUUACCUGUAAAAUGGGGAUGACUUCAACUAAUUCAAGGAGAUAAGACUUGUGAAAUAUGUUGUAUACUAAAAUAUAAGAUUAUAAAAAUUUCAGAGAACCUAGUACAAAUUGUAAGCAUUUAUGUUAUAAACAGCUGAAAGUUAUAAAUCAAAGACUUACUGUACUUUUUGUGAUGUGAAAAUAAAAGCGGUAUCACAAGACUGGGAUCCCAAUUACAAUAAGAUAUAUUCUGUGUUUGCAGAAAUAUGUCAAAAUAUACUCUACUGUUAUGUAUACCUAAAAAGAACCAAAAAGGUGUUGCUUUUCCUGUUUUUAAAAAUACUACAUAGUUUAACUUUUUAAAAUUUUUACUCUUUUAGUUAUACAUGAUAGUAGGAUCCAUUUUGAUACACAAGCUUGGAAUAUAUCUUAUUCUACUUAGGAUCCCAGUUUUGUGGAUAUACAUGGUGGUGAGAUUGUGGUAUAUUUAUAUAUGUACUCAUUUAAUUUUUUUAAAGUUAUGUUCUUGGUGUAAAAAUUCUGUAAAGAAAGUAAAGUCUUUAGCAGUCUCUCCUCCACCACCCUGCUUACCACCUCAGGUUUGCUAAUUAUCCUUUCAGAGUUUCUAUUGCAUAUUUAAAAUAUUUCACACAACAGGAUCUUUUUAUCCAUAAAUGCCUUAUGACCUGCAUUAAAAAAAAAAAACUUAACCAUAUACUGUGGACAAUUUUCUAGAUUUAUAUCAUUCUCAUCAUUUUUUAAGACUGACGUCAGUGAUUUUCAAUCCUGCUUGAAUAAUAAAUUAACUUGGGAGAUUUAAAAAAAAACAAAACAACAAAAAUAAAGUCAAUUCUCCAAAAAAACCUAUGACUAGCAUUCAUAGAGAGAAGGCAAAGAAAAUUUUACUCUUUUUAAUCUCCUGGGGGGAUGUUCAACCUGGAGAGGACCCAUGUGUCUUAAGCUGUACUUUGUAUUUUGUGAUCUAAUCAAUGCUAUUUUCAUGAAUAUUUGGGUUACAAGGUAUUUUAGUCAAUACUCGUGUACUUAAAACUUGGUUUGGUCAGGCCUUAACAUUUUGUCAUAUUUGAUUCAUUCUUUUUUAAAGAAGAAAUGUUACAAACUUAGGCCCUCACUUUCCCUGCUUUGCUGGUCCCUUCAUUUCCCACUUCCCGUGAGCAUUAUUCUCAAUUUGGUAUUUCCUUUAUAUAGAUAUUAAGGGUAUUUCAUAUUAAUAUAUUGUAUUACCUUUAGGGACAUAACCUGUAAGUAAUGAAUUUCCUUAAUACAUCUGAAUUGUGCAUUUAAAAAUGGGUAAGAUGGUCAAUUUGGGGAGCGAGUACCACGGAUCAAACCCAGGGCACUUAACCACUGAGCCACAUCCCC